rnacentral:rRNA from 1 species
CAGCGCCACGAGUGGUGACCAUUUUUAUUGGGCUUAAAGCGUCCGUAGCCGGUUUAACAAGUCUUUUGUGAAAUCGUCCAGCUUAACUGGACGACGUGCAGGAGAAACUGUUAGACUUGGAACCGGGAGAGGUCAGAAGUAUUCUUGGGGGAGCGGUAAAAUGUUAUAAUCCCAAGAGGACUACCGAUGGCGAAGGCAUCUGACCAGAACGGAUUCGACGGUGAGGGACGAAGGCUAGGGGAGCAAACCGGAUUAGAUACCCGUGUAGUCC